AACACGCCUUCAGAAUGAAGAAUCCACCAUUUAAAAAAAAAUCUGUGACGUCAGUGGGCACGCAGAAGUAGAGGAGUUGAUACCGGCGAAUGGACAGAUGAUGAAAGUCAGCAAAUUUCUCCACAUCUGAAAGAUCACCCGGACAAGUGACGAAUAUCUGUCACAUAUUCGAUACCAGAACCUUAUAUAAUGGACGUAUAUUGCUGCAGACGCUUUCGCUGUUUUGAUCCGAUUCAAAUUGACAGGGAUGAACAACUUGCUAGCCUUCGGUAAUGAUGUGCCCCGUGCUCGAGACGUUAGCAAGCUAGAUUCAAAUUAAAUGUGUUGUCAUUACUUGAGAAAAAAAAUCUGUCGAUUUGAGAACAAAAUAUGUGGGGAUUACUGCCGACUACGGUCAAUUGACGAAAUCUGACUGAGUUGUGAAAGCCUAAAUGCUAACUAGCUAGCACACCAGCAUUCCGAAACCAGCGUUAGCCAGCCAGCUAGCCAGCUAGGGACAAGGCACGGGAGGGUUCUGUGCAGGUUGUUAUGGAAGAGGUGGCGCUAGAACCACCGACGGACGCGCUCUGUGAAUGUAAUGGAGGUAGAACCACCAACUCCGAAGAUCCCAGACCUAAAAGCCGACAUCAUCAACCCGAACUCGGGCCGAACCCGAGUAACUUUUCUCGGCUGUGCAGCAGGGACGAGGCGGAGAGGGCAGAGGCGCUGAAAGAACUGACCCAGAGCGUCAUGUCCCGAUUGGGUCUGGACCGAACCGGUUCUGCUCGUCUCGAUAAACACACUCUCCUGCAGCUGCUGCGGGUCUCCCGGUCCUGCCCCUUACAGGAGGUCCGCGAGAGGGCAGCGGAACUACUGCGGACUGCACAGGAGCAAGGUGUUGAGAUUCCUCAGGCUUUGGCCUCCGGUCCUAGUGCCUUCAUCCCUGCACAAGUGAUUUUGGAUGAGGGACCAGAUCAGGAAGUUCUGAUAGAAGCCUUCCUCUCUUUGGGCCGUUUUGACCACAUCACCAUGGUGAUGGCCCUUCACCCCACCUACCUCAGCUGCUUCCUGCGUACCCAGCAUGCUUUGCUGGAGCUGGAUGGCCCGCUACCCCGCCCCUGGAGGCACUACAUCGUUGUCAUGGCUGCAGCUCGUCACCAGUGUUCCUACCUUGUCCAACAGCAUAGUGCAGGGUUCCUGGAGGCGGGGGGGGAGGAGAGCUGGCUGGAGGGGCUACAACACACACACCCCAAAAUACGCUGCCUACACACACUUAACAAGCUGCUGGCACACAGACCCUGGCUCAUCACACAACAGCACAUACAGGAGUUGGUGUGUCCCGGGGCGGAUGAUCGUUGGUCAUUGGCUGAGCUGAUCCACGCAGUUGUUCUGAUGACUCACUCUCAUUCGCUGUCCUCUUUCGUUUGGGGGUGUGGCCUACACCCUGAGCCCGACCACGUAGGAGGCCACGCCUUCUGCCCACCAUCACCAUCCAAUAACAUGCCACAAAGCCCUCACAGUCCCGCCCCCGAGGACGGCAAGCCAGAGGAUGGAGUGACGGAGGUGGAGGCAUUGAUGAAGAGGAUGGUGGAGUUACAACAGCAGGUGGAGGAGUGUAGUCAGGAAGAGAUGAUCACUCGCUUUGAGAGGGAGAGGAGUGAGAGCAUACCUACUGCAGUGGUACGGGGAGCCCCCUCUGACUUGGUGUUGAGGUUAGUGGAGGAUGCAGAGUUCAUCUAUGAAGACUUCUCCAUCCGAGGAGAACAGUCACCUCCUACCAUGAGAGCACAGGACUACUCAUGGGAAGACCAUGGAUUCUCCCUAGUGAACAGACUGUUACCAGACAUGGGCCAAUUACUGGAGGAGAAGUUCCAGGUUGUGUGUGGUCUAACCUACAACAGGAUGGCGAUGCACAAGGAUGUGGACACACACACACUCCGCAAGGCUCUCUGGAACUACAUCCACUGCCUCUACGGAAUACGGUACGAUGACUACGACUACGGAGAGGUGAAUGUGUUGUUGGAGCGAGGCCUCAAGAUGUUUGUGAAAACGGUAGCGUGUCAUCCAGAACAGACUACAGAUAGGAUCUACUCUGCCUACUGGAGACUCUUCAGACACUCUGAGAAGGUCCAUGUCAACCUGCUGCUGAUGGAGGCUCGACUACAGGCUGCUCUACUAUACACACUACGGGCUGUCACACGCUACAUGACAUGACUACAGGCUGCUCUACUAUACACACUACGGGCUGUCACACGCUACAUGACAUGACUACAGGCUGUCACACACUACAUGACAUGACUACAGGCUGUCACACGCUACAUGACAUGACUACAGGCUGUCACACGCUACAUGACAUGACUACAGGCUGCUCUACUAUACACACUACGGGCUGUCACACGCUACGCUACAUGACUAAGGGCUGUCACGCGCUACAUGACAUGACUACAGGCUGUCACACGCUACGCUACCUGACUACGGGCUGUCACACACUACAUGACAUGACUACGGGCUGUCACACGCUACAUGACAUGACUACAGGCUGUCACACGCUAUAUGACAUGACUACAGGCUGUCACACACUACAUGACAUGACUACGGGCUGUCACACGCUACGCUACAUGACUACAGGCUGUCACACGCUACAUGACAUGACUACAGGCUGCUCUACUAUACACACUACGGGCUGUCACACACUACAUGACAUGACUACAGGCUGUCACACACUACAUGACAUGACUACGGGCUGUCACACGCUACGCUACAUGACUACGGGCUGUCACACGCUACAUGACUACAGGCUGUCACACGCUACAUGACAUGACUACAGGCUGCUCUACUAUACACACUACGGGCUGUCACACGCUACAUGACAUGACUACAGGCUGUCACACGCUACAUGACAUGAGUACAGGCUGUCACACACUACAUGCCAUGACUACAGGCUGUCACACACUACAUGACAUGACUACAGGCUGUCACACACUACAUGACAUGACUACAGGCUGCUCUACUAUACACACUACGGGCUGUCACACGCUACAUGACAUGACUACAGGCUGUCACACGCUACAUGACAUGACUACAGGCUGUCACACACUACAUGCCAUGACUACAGGCUGUCACACACUACAUGACAUGACUACAGGCUGUCACACACUACAUGACAUGACUACAGGCUGCUCUACUAUACACACUACAGGCUGUCACACGCUACAUGACAUGACUACAGGCUGCUCUACUAUACACACUACGGGCUGUCACACGCUACAUGACAUGACUACAGGCUGUCACACACUACAUGACAUGACUACAGGCUGCUCUACUAUACACACUACGGGCUGUCACACGCUACAUGACAUGACUACAGGCUGUCACACACUACAUGACAUGACUACGGGCUGUCACACGCUACGCUACAUGACUACGGGCUGUCACACGCUACAUGACUACAGGCUGUCACACGCUACAUGACAUGACUACGGGCUGUCACACGCUACGCUACAUGACUACGGGCUGUCACACGCUACAUGACUACAGGCUGUCACACACUACAUGACAUGACUACGGGCUGUCACACGCUACGCUACAUGACUACGGGCUGUCACACGCUACAUGACUACAGGCUGUCACACGCUACAUGACAUGACUACAGGCUGCUCUACUAUACACACUACGGGCUGUCACACGCUACAUGACAUGACUACAGGCUGUCACACGCUACAUGACAUGACUAAAGGCUGUCACACACUACAUGCCAUGACUACAGGCUGUCACACACUACAUGACAUGACUACAGGCUGUCACACACUACAUGACAUGACUACAGGCUGCUCUACUAUACACACUACAGGCUGUCACACGCUACAUGACAUGACUACAGGCUGCUCUACUAUACACACUACGGGCUGUCACACGCUACAUGACAUGACUACAGGCUGCUCUACUAUACACACUACGGGCUGUCACACGCUACAUGACAUGACUACAGGCUGUCACACACUACAUGACAUGACUACAGGCUGUCACACGCUACAUGACAUGACUACGGGCUGUCACACGCUACGCUACAUGACUACGGGCUGUCACACGCUACAUGACUACGGGCUGUCACACGCUACAUGACAUGACAACUGGCUGUCACGCGCUACAUGACAUGACUACUGGCUGUCACACACUACAUGACAUGACUACAGGCUGUCACACGCCACAUGACAUGACUACAGGCUGCUCUACUAUACACACUACGGGCUGUCACACACUACAUGACAUGACUACGGGCUGUCACACGCUACAUGACAUGACUACGGGCUGUCACACGCUACAUGACUACGGGCUGUCACACGCUACAUGACUACGGGCUGUCACACGCUACAUGACUACGGGCUGUCACACGCUACAUGACUACGGGCUGUCACACGCUACAUGACUACGGGCUGUCACACGCUACAUGACUACGGGCCUGUCACACGCUACAUGACUACGGGCCUGUCACACGCUACAUGACUACGGGCCUGUCACACGCUACAUGACUACGGGCUGUCACACGCUACAUGACUACGGGCCUGUCACACGCUACAUGACUACGGGCUGUCACACGCUACAUGACUACGGGCCUGUCACACGCUACAUGACUAUGGGCUGUCACACGCUACAUGACUACACACAGUUAAUGUCUGAAUCCGACAGUUCAGAUUGAUCAUAAGUCAAUGUUGUGUUUAUUCUGCUCUGUGUAAUAAGCUGCCUAUUUUGUGUUUGUGGUUAUAAUGCUACACAUUAUAGAGUUAGGUUGAUCCAGUCAAUCAAUCAAUCAUCUCACUGUGUUAAACGAUUAUUGUACUAGCUACUGUGUUCACAGUGGCUGUUACCAUUUAAUGCUUCAGAUCAUACAUAAGACAAUUGAAUGAAUGGUUCAUGUAUUUUUUUUAAUGUACAAUAAAAUGUAUUUUGUUAUCAAAAUCA